UACGUAGGGUGCAAGCGUUAAUCGGAAUUACUGGGCGUAAAGCGUGCGCAGGCGGUUAUGCAAGACAGAGGUGAAAUCCCCGGGCUCAACCUGGGAACUGCCUUUGUGACUGCAUGGCUAGAGUACGGUAGAGGGGGAUGGAAUUCCGCGUGUAGCAGUGAAAUGCGUAGAUAUGCGGAGGAACACCGAUGGCGAAGGCAAUCCCCUGGACCUGUACUGACGCUCAUGCACGAAAGCGUGGGGAGCAAACAGGAUUAGAU
rnacentral:rRNA from 1 species